GGAGAGCGAGCAGAGAUAUUCAGGGUUGGCUUCCUGUGCCUACUGAGCUGAUAAUCAGUCCUAUACAACCACUGGCUCAGUUCAGCAGGAACCGGAGUCCAGUCCACUCCACACCGGACCAGAAGAC
rnacentral:miRNA from 1 species